ACAAAUAACAAGUCUGGUCUGCAUGAGCAAUUCCUGUUUAUUGCAUUCAACAAUUUGUUCCUAUUAAGGAUAUCGUUUUUGUUUGUUUGUUUUUACAAAAGUGUAACACUGAUGGCUUCUAUACAACUUCCGUGCUUGAAGCUAGGGCUUUAUUUCCACCAGCCAGGACAACUCCUUUAGGCAACUGGAAACUUGCACUAGGCAGCAUGCCCUGGAGUACCACAAACCAAAAACUGAGACAAAACCAUGAGUAAGAAAUAUCAAAAUUAGUCAUUUGAACUUUUGUCCCUUAACCACUGCUGUCAACUCAUGCAAAGCUCUGAUCAGGCACUUUAAAACAUCAACUUCAGUUCUGCAAUCAGGAACCAGAGGUGACAGGGACAAUCUUGUAAAGAUAGGUGUCUCAAAGAACCAAUACUGCUGCCCGUAAAAGCAGGUGAGAAACUUCCAAGGAAAGCGAUGAAAAUCCUGGAAUCUUAAAUUCUUAACACCAGACUGAGUGCAGCACAAUCAGGACUGUAACAAACAACAAAAUGACGCUCCAGACCACUAGGAAGUUUUACUCCAACUCUGAAUUACUGAAGUCAAGGGACAAUAAAAACUUCCAGUUCUGCAGAAUCACAGAUAAUCAGCUCUGAGAAACCUGCCUGUAUUUAGGCAACAGGCCACAUAAUCCAAAAGCUUCUCACAAUGAAAAAAAGCCAAUGCAAAUUUGAAGAUGCCAUUUUUCAGAAAUGCAGAAAUCUACUUCGUCCGGUCACUACCUGCUACAAAUGUUACAUACAGUUAUUUGGUACCACUUACUUUAUUCUUGCAGUGUUACCUGAAAUAAAGGGUAAAUAAAAGAAAAAUAAAAUAAAAAA